UACGUAGGGGGCUAGCGUUGUCCGGAAUCAUUGGGCGUAAGCGCGCGUAGGCGGCCCGGUAAGUCCGCUGUGAAAGUCAAAGGCUCAACCUUUGAAUGUCAGCGGAUACUGCCGGGCUAGAGUCCGGAAGAGGCGAGUGGAAUUCCUGGUGUAGCGGUGGAAUGCGCAGAUAUCAGGAGGAACACCAACGGCGAAGGCAGCUCGCUGGGACGGUACUGACGCUGAGGCGCGAAAGCGUGGGGAGCGAACAGG
rnacentral:rRNA from 1 species